rnacentral:ribozyme from 11 species
UUUUUUUUUUUUUUUUUUUUUUUUUUUUUUUACG